GGUAGUACCUUAGCUUAUGUUGAUAUAUAGCCGUCCGGCUCAAAGCCAGCUCCCGUGCCUCUUCGAGCAGAUCGAUGUCGUCUUCUCUUGCCUCCUUCGCUUCCGUCUCCGUGUAUAUGGUGACCCAAGGAGAGUCGAACUCAACAUCCAUGGGGAUGAUUGCCUCAGACCCAUAUACCAGAAAGAAUGGUGUGAAGCCGGUUGACCGGUUCGGCGUGGUGCGCACGCUCCACGAC
rnacentral:lncRNA from 1 species